UACGUAGGGGGCAAGCGUUAUCCGGAUUUACUGGGUGUAAAGGGAGCGUAGGCGGUUCAGCAAGUCAGAAGUGAAAGCCCGGGGCUCAACUCCGGGACUGCUUUUGAAACUGUUGAGCUAGAUUGCAGGAGAGGUAAGUGGAAUUCCUAGUGUAGCGGCGAAAUGCGUAGAUAUUAGGAGGAACACCAGUGGCGAAGGCGGCUUACUGGACUGUAAAUGACGCUGAGGCUCGAAAGCGUGGGGAGCAAACAGG
rnacentral:rRNA from 1 species